rnacentral:rRNA from 1 species
GAUGAACGCUGGCGGCGUGCUUAACACAUGCAAGUCGAACGGUGAAGGCGGAGCUUGCUCUGCUGGAUCAGUGGCGAACGGGUGAGUAACACGUGAGCAAUCUGCCCCUGACUCUGGGAUAAGCGCUGGAAACGGCGUCUAAUACUGGAUACGAGCUGCGAAGGCAUCUUCAGCAGCUGGAAAGAAUUUCGGUCAGGGAUGAGCUCGCGGCCUAUCAGCUUGUUGGUGAGGUAAUGGCUCACCAAGGCGUCGACGGGUAGCCGGCCUGAGAGGGUGACCGGCCACACUGGGACUGAGACACGGCCCAGACUCCUACGGGAGGCAGCAGUGGGGAAUAUUGCACAAUGGGCGAAAGCCUGAUGCAGCAACGCCGCGUGAGGGACGACGGCCCUCGGGUUGUAAACCUCUUUUAGCAGGGAAGAAGCGAAAGUGACGGUACCUGCAGAAAAAGCGCCGGCUAACUACGU